rnacentral:lncRNA from 1 species
CCCUUCCCUCUAUCACACCAAUAGUUCUUUUAUUAAAAAUCCCACCUACAUUAGACCAAAAGCCACUCCUAGUUAUGUUAAAAGAUCUAUUUUUAGAGCCUAAUGUAACCUCUGAUCAGAAAGCCCAAAUUGUAAGUGUACAAAAAGAAUAUGAAGAAGUUGUUAGAGGGACAAUUACCGACCCAACAAUGGACUAUCCAAACCCAGUGCUACCUUAAGAACCAAGUCCCGAAAACCCUACUGAGGAUCCUUUACACAAAUUUCUAAACUGCACAGGCAUAGAUAAUGUAGAGAGGCUGAGCGAUCUGUUAGACCCACCAUGUGUUGCCCAACUAUGCAACCCAAGAGAAGGGGGGGGGGGGUAAAUUGGGUUUUUAAAAAUUUAACGCUAAUUUAGAACUAUGAGGAUUAAAUAACAGUGAGCAGAAUAUAUGUAGAGAGUGAUUUAAGUAAGAUGUAAAAAUUAGAUGCAAGAAUGAAAGUAGAUAAAAAAAUUUAGAAAG